rnacentral:tRNA from 1 species
GUUUUCAUAGUGUAAAUUAACAUAUUAUAUUUUCAUUAUAAAGCUGAAUUUUUAUUCUGAAAACU